rnacentral:rRNA from 1 species
UACAUAGGGAGCGAGCGUUAUCCGGAUUUAUUGGGUGUAAAGGGUGCGUAGACGGGAAUUUAAGUUGGUUGUGAAACCCCUCGGCUCAACCGAGGAACUGCAAUCAAAACUGGAUUUCUUGAGUACUGGAGAGGAAAGUGGAAUUCCUAGUGUAGCGGUGAAAUGCGUAGAUAUUAGGAGGAACACCAGUGGCGAAGGCGACUUUCUGGACAGUAACUGACGUUGAGGCACGAAAGUGUGGGGAGCAAAC